rnacentral:lncRNA from 1 species
GCUCUCUGGGGAUGUGAGCGCGGGCUCAAAGGACGUCCUCCGACUGCAGCAUGAGAUCCUGGAGAUCCGCUCUCAGCUGGAGCUUCGCCUGAAGGACAUGCAGUUGAAGUUGUCUCAGGCUAUGAUGAAACUAAAGAGCACACAAGCAGAGCAGCUACUCGUGCAGAAGAACACCAGUGGAGAUUUAACCAAGGAGAUUCAGCGCUUGCAUGUGAAAGCGUCUGAGGACGUGAGGGAGCUGCAACAGGACGCUGCCAGACUGAGGAGGUGGACGGAGCAGCAGCUGCAGAUGACUGUGCAGGCACAAGCACACGGCAGCGAGCAGCUCAGCUCACUCAUGCAAGACAGACUGGUACAUCUUAAGAGAGAGAGAGGGAGGGAGAGAGGGAGAGAGAGAGAGAGAGAGAGAGAGAGAGAGAGAGAGAGAGAG